CUUAACCACUGGAGAUGCU
rnacentral:snRNA from 1 species